rnacentral:rRNA from 1 species
UACGAGGGGGGCAAAUGUUGUUCGGAAUCACUGGGCGUAAAGGGAGCGUAGGCGGGUUUUAGUACAGGUGUUUAAUCCCGGGGCCCAACCCCGGACAGGCACUUGAAACUGGGAAUCUUGAAUAGUGGAGAGGUCGGUGGAAUUGGAGGUGUAGCGGUGGAAUGCGUAGAGAUCUCCAAGAACACCCGUUGCGAAGGCGGCCGACUGGACCACACCUGACGCUGAGGCGCGAAGGCCAGGGGAGCGAACGGG